rnacentral:rRNA from 1 species
GACGAACCGAGCGAACGUUGUUCGGAAUCACUGGGCUUAAAGGGCGCGUAGGCGGGCGAUCAAGUCAGGGGUGAAAGCCCACGGCUCAACCGUGGAAGUGCCUUUGAUACUGGUCGCCUCGAGGGGGAUAGGGGCGUGCGGAACUUCCGGUGGAGCGGUGAAAUGCGUAGAUAUCGGAAGGAACACCGGUGGCGAAAGCGGCGCGCUGGAUCCCUUCUGACGCUGAGGCGCGAAAGCCAGGGGAGCAAACAGG